AUACGGAGGGUGCAAACGUUGCUCGGAAUCAUUGGGCGUAAAGCGCGUGUAGGCGGCUUGUUAAGUCGGGUGUGAAAGCCCUGGGCUCAACCCAGGAAGUGCGCCCGAAACUGGCGAGCUAGAGUACGGGAGAGGGUAGUGGAAUUCCCGGUGUAGAGGUGAAAUUCGUAGAUAUCGGGAGGAACACCAGUGGCGAAGGCGGCUACCUGGACCGAUACUGACGCUGAGACGCGAAAGCGUGGGUAGCAAACAGGAUUAGAUACCCUGGUAGUCCACGCCGUAAACGAUGAGUGCUAGGUGUUGCGGGUAUUGACCCCUGCAGCGCCGCAGCUAACGCAUUAAGCACUCCGCCUGGGGAGUACGGCCGCAAGGCUAAA
rnacentral:rRNA from 1 species